AUAUGAGUGAGACGAGCAGAAUAAUCUUGGGAUAAAGGUCUUCUAAGUUAUCCAGACUUAUCCGGAAGCCAAGGAGGCACAGCUUGACAAGGAGAGCUGUGAAGACGCUUGAGGAUUUAACCAGCUUUAAGAGAGAAUCGCCUUCGCAAAAUUCCAAGAUUGAGCUGUUCUGGGAUAGUGAUGACCAAGGCUCCAGAGUCCAGAAAAGAACAAAGAGGGUAAAUGUUACAUUUAAAGAUACUACAAGUCCUAGAUCAGCCUCCAGCAGAUCUCCAGGUUCUCCUAAAGAAGAUGCAGUGAUGAAAGCUAAGGGUGGCUCAUCUUCGCAGCAGCUGGGAGCAAUUCGUCUCAAGCCAAGCGAAGAGAGCAAUAAAGGCAGCUUCAGAAUCAGCGCAUGGGGCUGGCCCAGAAUCUGCCCAUGCGCCGGCCGUGGCCCGCAUCGGAAUCGGAGCACAAGGUCUGAUCCAGCAUCACACCGGCGGGAUGCCUGGCAAUUUUUAUUUUCCCAGGUGUCUCACAUGUGGGACACCCAUCGUAAAUGGGUUAAAGCCCAGUGUAUAAAAACACUAGCAUAAUAUAUUCAUAUAUAUUGUACAGAAUUUUGAAUAAAUACUUUCACUAAUUGAGAUAUGCCUGCCAUAUCCUAGUUUUGCUAGUCUAAUGGUAUCAGCAAUAUCCAUGAGACAUAAGUAUAUAACUCGCAAAUGUAGAGGGCCAACUGUAACUGAAAACUAUCUUGGCUGGCAAAAGAAAAAAAAAAUAGCAAGGUUUUAUGUUAUGCAUUUUGAUUUGAGGUAAAAUCAAGGUCCAGAUUUACUGGUUUUGUGUCAAAAUCUCCAAAUUUCUCCUUUUAGCCUGUAAUUAAGGGUGUCCCGGAAAUGUGUGAAUACAGCAAUGUGCAUGCAAGUGAUUUGCCACUGUCCUGACUCUUUCCCACUGAGUCCUAGCCCACCUGCAGCAUCAUACACUCCAUUACCUUCUCUCCUUGUACCUAUAUAUCAUUGUUACACCAAAUGUCUUUGUCCCUUUUUUACAGACACAACCUUGUGGUUGCUCUAUUUUUCAAACCUUUCCCAUCAACAUAGAAGUAGCACAUAUAUCUCUGACAUAUUGUCAGUGAAUGAAUAUAGGAUAUUUUACUAUUUGAUUUUGUCAUUCAAAGCAAGCAAAUGCUCAUUGAAGAUGCCAACAGAGAGGGAGGAACAAUUAUUAUUGAUUGAAGUUGUACUAGUAUUAUAUUUUGGAUAAUUUCAUUUUGGUUUACAUUGUUUAGUCUGGUGCCCCAUGUCAUUAUUAUUGGUUAGAGGUUAGUGCAAUAGUAGAUCACACAUGCACUAUUAAACAUAUACAGGUGUGUGGGUUGUGUCAAGAAAGUUACCUACACGUAAUUGAAGUAAAGUUUGUGGUGGCAAGGGGGCAAUUUGUUUGUGCUGUUUAUUGCUCAGUGCCUGGGCAAUCAUCAGGCUUACAGCCAAAGUCAUCCUGGCAAGUGGGAAAUGAUGUGACAAGGCGUCACCUGGAAUCUGAGUUUUUGCCUGGAUGUGUUAGGAUGUGACAUUUAGAAUGGAUGAAGUGCUGCAAUCUUCUUAAAACCUUUGUGAACAAGAAUUGUGCAAAGAGUGAUUUUAGUAUUAAAAAGAAAUUGAUCUUCAUUAUAUUUCUCUUAAGGGUUAAAUCUCCUUAUGGGGUGGUGUGCAUAUUAAGCCAAUGCUGCCUGGGAAAAUUUUGUGUUCACUUUAGUGCUGUUAUUUAAAAUGUCUGUGCACAUAGAGGUCUCUCCCUGUGCUUAGCCACAAAAGAGUCAAUUAGUAGACCUUGUGACCUCACCUUUUCUUGAGUUGGUGGGAAAAGUGUUCUUUUGUUACUAAUGCUGUCAAUAUUGAUACUGUUAUUUUUAUCAUGAACAUUGUAAUUACUGUAUUGUUAUUGGCAUUACUAAUAGCAGUA
rnacentral:lncRNA from 1 species